AUUGAACGCUGGCGGCAUGCCUUACACAUGCAAGUCGAACGGCAGCACGGGGCAACCUGGUGGCGAGUGGCGAACGGGUGAGUAAUGCAUCGGAACGUGCCAUUGAGUGGGGGAUAACGUAGCGAAAGUUGCGCUAAUACCGCAUAUUCUGUGAGCAGGAAAGCAGGGGACCGUAAGGCCUUGCGCUCUUUGAGCGGCCGAUGUCAGAUUAGCUAGUUGGUGAGGUAACGGCUUACCAAGGCGACGAUCUGUAGCGGGUCUGAGAGGAUGAUCCGCCACACUGGAACUGAGACACGGUCCAGACUCCGUACGGGAGGCAGCAGGUGGGGUAAUUUUGGACAAUGGGCGCAAGCCUGAUCCAGCCAUGCCGCGUGAGUGAAGAAGGCCU
rnacentral:rRNA from 1 species